ACAUGCCUACAACAUAAUGUUAAUGCACUAGAUCCCAUUAUAACUCCACAGUUAAGCAUGCUCAUGCUAGAGUAGUACUAGGAUGGGUGACUGCACUGGAAGUCCUAGUGUUUUACAUGCC
rfam:Picea glauca, whole genome shotgun sequence.